CAGCCCCUGGAGCGGACGGGGAGAAGGAGAAGGAGCGGCUCCCAAGAGCUCCCUCAGCUGCACUGCACCGCCCCAACCAGCCUGAAGGGAGAAGCAACCGAGGAGCAGAGAGACCACACACCCUUGCAGCGCCUGCAGCUCAGCCGGGCUCUCCUCGCCUCCUCCCCAG